rnacentral:tRNA from 1 species
UGGAGCGGUGGGUGAGUGGCCGAAACCAACGGUUUGCUAAACCGUCGUACCUUAACCGGGUACCGGGGGUUCGAAUCCCCCCUGCUCCGA